rnacentral:snoRNA from 1 species
GUGCUUCCCUUUUUUUUUUNAUAAUUGGGAAGGGCGGUGUUGUUCUGCUCGUAAAUUGAAGUUGGGCUCUUCAGACUUGUUGAUUUUUUACUUGAUACUGGUCUAGUAAGCCUAACUAAAUA